rnacentral:rRNA from 1 species
UCACCUCUAGCAUUGCCAGUAUUAGAGGCACUGCCUGCCCAGUGACAUUAGUUAAACGGCCGCGGUAUCCUGACCGUGCAAAGGUAGCAUAAUCAUUUGUUCCUUAAUUAGGGACUUGUAUGAACGGCCCCACGAGGGUUUAACUGUCUCUUACUUUUAAUCAGUGAAAUUGACCUUCCCGUGAAGAGGCGGGAAUACAAAAAUAAGACGAGAAGACCCUAUGGAGCUUAAAUUAAUAUGUUCAACAGAAUUUAAUUAUAAUCCAAUAGGAAUAAAAAUAUUCUAACUGAACAAUAAAUUUUGGUUGGGGUGACCUCGGAGUAUAACAUAACCUCCGAGCAAUUAAACCAAGACUUACCAGUCAAGGCCAUAUAACUUAUUGAUCCAAUCUUAUUGAUCAACGAAACAAGUUACCCUAGGGAUAACAGCGCAAUCCUAUUUAAGAGUUCAUAUCGACAAUAGGGUUUACGACCUCGAUGUUGGAUCAGGACACCCAAAUGGUGCAGCAGCUAUUAAAGGUUCGUUUGUUCAACGAUUAAAGUCCUACGU